ensembl:lncRNA
GGUAUCUCAGUGUGGUUCUCAUGUCUUCUUAACACAAGCAAACAAAACAGAGUUAAGAAAGAAGCGUUCCUAAGGCAGAUGGUGGCUAAUUGAAAAGGCCCUAAGAAGCCCAAACAAGUUGGUUUUACCUUCAAAGUUUGACCCCCUCCUAUGGCGAACAGUCGUUUUGUUUCCCAAAACACUGGAUCUGUUCCAUUGACUUUAUUUCUAUUCUGUAACCAAUACGUCAGCACAUUUCACGUGCCAGACACUGUGCUGGGUGCUGAGAUACAAAGACGAAUAGGGAGGUCCCUGCCUUUGGGAACUUACAGUCUAAUAGGGAAAUAAGACAAGGUCACUGGAGUGUUGGUCACUAAAGGUACACGGGAAGGACAGAAGAGAGUCAGGAGGGAGCAGUCUCCGUGGGUUGGUGGGUGGAUUUAACAUGGUCCCUCACCCACAGAAACAGAAUAAUCCCCCAGAUCAACCAAAGAGAUGAGGUACGGCUUGAGUGUUUCAUACUCUGAAAUGUUAAAGGAGCUUACUUCUCCCACAGGCAACUGGGGCUGAGGAUUCACAGUUGACGGCCUUUCUGAGGCAGCGCCAGGGGCCCAGGUGGCGGCGGGUGAUGUCUGGCUGGGGCAGGUCCGGCCCUCACAGUGCCCCCAGGGGGUCAAUGCUGUCCAGCUGCUGGUCUUCAGGGUCCUGGAAAUGAGAGGUCUGUGAGCCACGCAGAGGGUACAGGCCUUCUGUUUGUGAAUCCUUCUGGGUCGAGCAUUCUUAUGGCUACUGGUCUGAGGCCUUGAUGGGGUUCAGGACACGCCACCCCCAAACAAAGCACCUUAGCACAUUAAAUGUCUUGAACUGAAGGAAUUUUUUAAAAAUGGCGGAAGCAGGAAGGUCACUCCGACACCCCUGCCCUACCCCCUUGCCCUUCUUUCCUGAAACAGGUAACAGAAUUCCCAUGUGAAAGAUGCCCUCCCUGUACUAGGAGGAAAGAAGACACCACCACAGAUGGGGAAUCAGGGGACUAAAAUCUGUACAAACAAACCUUGUUCACUAACCCUUAUCUUCCUAGUGACUUCACCAUUCACUACCCCUAGCGCCAAACCUCUUUCCCUUGUCAGUUCCUCACACAUCAUCUAUUGUCUAAAAGGUACAAAAGCUUCCUCUUCUGGUCCCUCUUUUGGGUCUUUGUUUUCUCCUGAAGGCUCCCACGUACAGGUAAGCAUUCAAAAAAAGGUACAUGCUUUUGUCCUGUGAGUCUGUCUCUAUCAAUCAGUUUACUUUUCAGGCCCAGCUAGGGAUCUUAGGAGGGUCAAGGAAAACUUCUUCCUCCCCUACAGCCUAAAACAUGAUUCUUCCCUCAGUGCCCCGUGGACACACGUGUUGGGAGCGAGCACGGCUUCACACUGCUGUCCCGCGGCUCAUGGCAUGGAGGUUAGGGCCCCGUUCCGGGUACAGUCUCUGCUGUUUGAAGGUGUGUGGCCCUGGACAGAUCAUUUGAACUGUGCUGUAGUUUCCUCAUCUAUAAAGAAUCCUAGUAAUAUUUACCUGACAGGGAGGUGUGAGGAUUAAAUUAGAUACUACAUUAAGGAAGAUUUAAAAAGCACCCCACAAAAGGUGGCUGUUACUCUGAUUACAAAAAAAAAAACCUUUCCAGUUGAAAAUUCAUCCUGAACUAGGGUCUAACCAGAAGCCACAGUCCAGAGGCAGCCACUCUGAACCGUCUGCUGUCUGUGGCUUUGAUCAGCACUGAAGUUUUGUUAAUUCGCAUCAUGGACGUUCAUGCUGUCUAGAUUGACUCCAGAUAGUCCAUAGGCAAUGCCCGCUCCCUCAGUAUAAAAGGCAUGAGAAUCGAGCACACUUGGGGCUGGUAUCCUCAGCUUGGGAUUCCCAUAACUGGAACAUUUUUGCCACCUGGUUGAAUGAGAAGGGUUGAGCUGAACCCUGCAUCUGGGAUACUCUCUCACCUGCCUCCGGCGAGUCUUUCACGCACAGGGCUCAUGGAGAGCCUUGAACAGGAUGUGUAAUUUUUCCCCCUUGCUUUUAAAAUGAGGUUGAUUUCAAUAUCACAAGGCUUACAGAAAUAGGCUAUUAGUAGAUGCAGUUUAGCUGAACUUGCCCUUGCAAUUUGGACUGGAAACUUUUACAUGGGUUUGAUUGAAAAAACAGGAUUUAUGAUCUGGUUAUUUUUCAAUAUUGCAGACAUAUUAAAUCUACCACAGGCACUAAGAACCAUGGGAUAUUUGCAUUUGGUUCACUGCAGAAAAAUAGUAACAAAUGUUGCACUCUACACGCUUACAGUGGUGCAAUAAAGUGCUGUAAUGUUUCAGUGCCAACUUAACAGAAGUUCAAUACAGCUCCCGCCCCGUGGAGCUGGGGUGCGUCACCCUCCCAAAGUGGAUGUGUUCACCACCGUGUAAGCUCUCUGAAUCCCCUACUACUGGGACUUUAUGGAUGACGAUGGGAGUAGAAGGAUGUGAGCUCACCUCUUCUUAUGAAAACACCAAAAUCGCAACUAACUGCUGAACAACCAUUGACUAAAAAACACUGGAACCUGCCAGAAAAGAUAUCCUACGUCCAAAGACAAAGAAGAAGCCACAGUGAGACGGUAGGAGGGGCACAACUGCGAUAAAAUCAAAUCCCAUACCUGCUGGGUGGGUGAACCACAAACUGGAAUAUAAUUUUAUAGCAGAGGUUCUCUCAUAGGAGUAGAAGUUCUGAGCCCCACAUCAGGCUCCCCAGCCUGGGGGUCUGGCAAUGGGAGGAGGAGCCCCCAGAGAAACUGGCUUUGAAGCCCUGCAGGGUUUGAUCGCAGGAAUUCCACAGGACUGGGGGAAACAAACUCCACGCUUGGAGGGUGCACACAGGACCCAGAGGAAAAAGCCGUGACCUCAUAGGAGCCUGGGCCAGACCUACCUUCUGGUAUUGGAGGGUCUCCUGAGGAGGUGGGAGGCGGCUGUGGCUCACUGUGGGGACAAGAUACUGGCGGUGGUAGUUCUAGGGAGUAUUCACUGGUGGGAGCCCUCUUGGAGGCCGCCAUUUUCUCAACCAAGACGUGGUGCCACCCAACAGCCUGUAAGCUCCAGUGCUGGGAUGCCUCUGGCCUGACAACCCAGAGGGUGGGAAUACAGCCCCACCCAUCAGCAGACAGGCUGCUUAAAGCCUUCCUGAGUACACAGCUGCCUGAUAAACACACCCUCUGACAUGGCCGCGGCCACCAGUGGGACAAGACCCAGCUCCAUCCACCAGUAGGCAGGAACCAGUCCCUCCGACCAGGAAGCCUGCACAGCCUCACCCACCAGGGGGCAGACAGCAGAAGCAAGAAGAACUACGACCCUGCAGCCUGCGGAAUGGAAACAGCAAUCACCCAAAGUAAGACAAAAUGAGACAGCAGAGGAAUAUGUCCCAGAUGAAGGAACAAGAUAAAACCCCAGAAGAACAAUUAAGUGAAGUGGAGAGAGGCAAUCUACCUGAAAAAGAAUUCAGAAUAAUAAUAGUAAAGAUGAUCCAAGAUCUCAGAAAAAGAAUGGAGGCACUGAUGGAGAAGAUACAAGAAAUGUUUAACAAGGACCUAGAAGAACUAAAGAACAAACAGAGAUGAACAAUACAAUAACUGCAAUGAAAUAUACACUAGGAGGAAUCAACAGAAUGACUGAGGUAGAAGAAUGGAUAAGUGGGCUGGAAGACAGAAUGGUGGAAUUCACUGCUGCAGAACAG